AUCCCUGUAGCGUAAUGAAUCAUGCGUUGGACUGCUAAUUUAAAGGUUGUGUGUUCGAGUUCCACCUGGGAUG